UUAAUUGAAGAGUUUGAUCAUGGCUCAGAUUGAACGCUGGCGGCAGGCCUAACACAUGCAAGUCGAGCGGUAACAUUUCUAGCUUGCUAGAAGAUGACGAGCGGCGGACGGGUGAGUAAUGCUUGGGAACAUGCCUUGAGGUGGGGGACAACCAUUGGAAACGAUGGCUAAUACCGCAUAAUGUCUACGGACCAAAGGGGGCUUCGGCUCUCGCCUUUAGAUUGGCCCAAGUGGGAUUAGCUAGUUGGUGAGGUAAAGGCUCACCAAGGCGACGAUCCCUAGCUGGUUUGAGAGGAUGAUCAGCCACACUGGAACUGAGACACGGUCCAGACUCCUACGGGAGGCAGCAGUGGGGAAUAUUGCACAAUGGGCGCAAGCCUGAUGCAGCCAUGCCGCGUGUGUGAAGAAGGCCUUCGGGUUGUAAAGCACUUUCAGUCAGGAGGAAAGGUUAGUAGUUAAUACCUGCUAGCUGUGACGUUACUGACAGAAGAAGCACCGGCUAACUCCGUGCCAGCAGCCGCGGUAAUACGGAGGGUGCGAGCGUUAAUCGGAAUUACUGGGCGUAAAGCGUACGCAGGCGGUUUGUUAAGCGAGAUGUGAAAGCCCCGGGCUUAACCUGGGAACUGCAUUUCGAACUGGCAAACUAGAGUGUGAUAGAGGG
rnacentral:rRNA from 2 species